UGACUGAACCACCCAAGUGGCCCCCAUUCAUUUUUUUUUUUUAAACAAAGUUUAUUGAAUCUUCUUCUGAGGGAAAAAAGCAAAACAUUCAUGGUAGAUCACCUAGAAAACACAGAGAUGUAAAAUUCAGAAAUUUUCCUAGAAUGUCACCACCCAGAUAUACUGCUGACAUUUUUUAAAAAGAAUACUUUUUAUUUUAGAUUUGUAUUUACAGGCAAGUUGCAAAAAUGGUACAGAGAGUUCCUCUAAAUCCACAUCCAGUUUAUCCUAAUUUUAAUAGUUUACAUUUGUAGGGUCCAUUUGUUACAAACAAUGAAAGCAAUAGUAUACAUUAUUGUUUAUGAAAAGCCACACUUUAUUCACAUUCCUUUGUUUUUGCCUAAUGUCCCCCUUUCUGUUCCGGGAUCCCAUCUAGGACACCACCUUACAUUUAGUUGUCAUGUCUCCUUAGACUCCUCUAGACUGUCAGUUUCUCAGACUUUCCUUGUUUUUGUGACCUUGAUGGUGUCAAGGAGUCCUGGUCUGGUAUUUUGUAGCGUGUCCUUCGUUUUGAGAGGGUCUGAUGUUUUUCCUGUGAUUCGACAGGGAUUAAGGUUUUGGGGACGUUGAGGUAAAGUAUCAUUCUCAUCCUUUUGAAGAUACACGCUCUCAUCAUGACCUAGUGUUUGUUCAUUUUAUCCUUGUCCGUUGGCCGAGGCAGUGUUAGUCUCUGCUGUAAAGUUACUCAAUCCCCUUUCCAUACUGUAUUUGGAAGGAAGACCCUAGCUCUGGCAUUUUCACAGAUGGCCUUCCAGUCUCAACCUUUCCCCUCUCCCACGACAUGAAAGCAAAAUCCCAACGGGCACUUGUGAAUUCCUGACCCCUAUGGGUCUUGUCAGAAGCUGGAAUCUGGGUUCUAGCCUUGACACUUUUAUUUUCGUCAUUUCUGGAAAUCUCAGACGUAGGCACGUAUGACCAUUUUGCACGUGUCUGUGCCUUAGUUUCAUCAAUGAAAACCAAGCUGUUGAGUACUUCCUAUGUGCCAGUCCCGGUGCUAAACGCAUUCCAUGCCUUAUUAAUCCGCAGAUGACCCUGUGACAGGGAUGAUGUUACUGUCUUCAUGUUAUGGAUGAGAAAACUCUGACGUGCGGAAGUGAAGCAAGCUGCCCGGGGUCACACGGCUUGCAAAUGGCAGAGCUGGAAUUCAGACCUUGGUCUGUGACCUCAGGACUCAGCACUAAACCAUGCACAUCUGGUUACGGGCAGUCACAGAGAAGGGGGGUUCCGGGUGCAGGCUCAGGAGUUUCAAUCAUAGCUUUCCAUUUACUAGCUGUGUGGCCUUGGGUAAGUCUCUUCGUGCCUCAGUUUUCUUAUCUGUUCAGUGGGGACAACAACAUCUUCCAGACGGGACUGUUGUGAGGCUUAGAUUACUUAAAAAAAAAAAAAAAAAAAAAAGCUUGGCCCAGGGUAGGCAGUCAGUGAGGGCUAUUAUUAUUGCUAUUACUGUGGUAUUUUUUUCAUUUGCCCACCCAUCCAUCCAUCCAUCCAUCCAUCCUGGAAAAACCCUGCCUGCUCUGGGCCCCAGUUUCCCAUCUAUAGUGGGUGUUGAACCACUAUGGACCCUUCUGGCAAACUGGUAAAACAAGACAAAACAUAGGAUCACAAAGGAAACUAUACUGAAAUAAAGCUAUCAAAAUAUUAAAGCAAAUUUGUGGUAUAUGUGUUUAUUUAGUAACACAUAAAACAAGAUCUACAAUUUUGAUGUGCUAGUGUUCGCACACACACACACACACACACACACACACACACAUCACACACUAGAUUAGUGCUGCGAUGACUAAUGAGCGAUGAGAAAACCUGUCAGUUUUAGUGACAAAACCUUAGAUACUCCGCAUUCUACUGUGGUUUGAUGCCUGCGUUCAAGAUAGGGAAAAAAAACGCUAAAUUUCAGUUAUAGAUGUGUGAACAUUUUUUCCUUCAGUCCAAGUUCGCAGAUGGCUGAAUUGUUAACACGGACCCCAGAUUAAGAACGGAGUUGGAGGAUGCCUGGGGUUCCUUCCAGCUCUCACAAGUAUGUUUCAGAGACUCUGGCUGGCAGAACCCACGGAGCCUUUGCCCUCAUCGAUCAGCUCAGCGGCUGCUGCUGCAGAUCUAUUGACCCAGCCCUUUGUGUUCAAGAAGCAACCCGCCUUUCUCUUGUUAACCCCUGCUAGUCUGGCCCCACGCAGGAUGUGCUCCGGGCUCGGCACUAGGUCCAGGCGGAUGUCAGGAGGAGGGUGGCACCCCGUGGAUGAAGGGCACCCACCAAAAGCCAGCGGCUAUGCUGGGUCCUCUCAUCUCAAGGUUUGGCUCACCGCAUCAGCCGGCAGCAAAGGAGCUAGACUUCAAGCCUCGGGCUUGUCUGGACUUCAAAUGCUGUGUUCUCUUCAGAGGACCAGAAGCCUGUAUCCCUGCUUCACGGCACAGGUGGGUUUGGGGACUUUUCCACCCCAAGAUCCAUACAUAACCAUCCCCGUUCCCCAUCUCUUCUCUCUCUCUCACACACACAAACACACACACACACACACACACACACACACACACACACACACGCUCCUUCAGAUUCACAUACAGGUUAGGGCUGGUCUCACCCAGCAUGAGAAGGAGCCAUAGACUCAAGUUUUGGGGUGCUGGGAAGGUGGCAAAGGACUUCCCUUCCUGAAAGUCUCCAAUUUUCAGCCUCUGGCAGUCUGUAUUGUCAUCACUAACAACCCAUAUCUGGGGGUUAAGCAUUGCCCCGCCCCCCCCCCCCCCCGCCCCCGCCCCCGCCCGGGUUUUUGUCUUCUGAUAUCUAAGGAAGUGUUAAUUCUUCUGGCCUUAAAGCCUUUCUUAGAGUUUGUGCAGGGAGCAGGGCAUAGGCCCUGAAGGGGAGGCCACAGGGUCUGACUGCCGGAGACCCUGCCAGAGCUGUGCUAAGACAUUCAGCAAACUCUCUGAUUCAGUUCAAUCCAACAGGCAUUUUACGGAGCCAUCUGUUACUCACACUGGGCAGGUGGAGAUGAGUCAGGUACAGCCCCUGUCUCGGGGUAAAAGUCUGGCAAAGGCAAUGACUACAGAGGAGAACCCAAAAUAUGGUGUCAGAGAGAUUAUGAUGAUGACAUAUGCACAGAGCUAGGCUGCGCAGAGCAGUUUGCUGACAUGUGGGCUCUGGAAGGGAAAUGAAAUGCACUGACCGUCUACGGAGGUCUGGAAGGUGGAGUCCGUCCGAGCGUGGGAGGAAGAGGGAAGGAACGGCACCCCGGGCAGGGUCGGGGGCCAGCGUGGGUGAAAGGCCAGGUGUGAUUAUGUGACAGUCUUGCUGAUGGGCACUGUCUUCGUCUGCUCAGGCUGCCAUUACAACACGCUGGUGGCUUAAACAACUUCUCACCGUUCUGGAGGCUAGAGGUCUGAGAUCAAGGCGCUGGCUGGUUGGUUUCCGCUGAGGCCUUUCGCCUUGGCUUGCACAUGGCCGCCAUCUCCUGGUGUCUUCGCGUGAUCUCUCUGUGAGAGUCUGUGUGUCCUUGACUCUUCUUUAUGAAGACAGCAGUCUUACUGGGUGAGGGCCCACCAUAUGGCCUCAUUUUAUCUGAAUCACCUCUUUAGAGACCCUGUCUCCAAACACGGGUAGUUGAAUUUGAGGUAUUGAGGUUAGGACUUGGACAAAUGAAUUUUGGAGCGGAACGCAAUUCAGCCGGUAACAGGAGUUGGCGGUGGAACGCGGAGAAAUGGGCCUGGGUGGCAGGGGAGGUGGGGGUGGGCGGAGUCAGAUCAGGAAAGGCCUCGACCUUCAGGGUUGGGCUUCACAGGUCAGAACUUGAAGAUGCCCGCACCUGCUCUGGCCUCGGAGGCCAGCUGCAAAGAGAAAGCAUCUCCUCUUCCUGUCCCCUAAGGAAAUGCUGGGAUUGGUGAGAUUGCACAGGCCCACUUCCCUCAGGGCUGGUCACUGGGGCCACGCCCCAAGGAGGGGCCAGGAGGGGCUCUCUGCCCCGCCCCGUAGGAGCCCUGCCCAGCCGGGUGGGUUCCAGCAUCAUAUCUAGACAUCUGUGCCCUUGGGACUUCCUAGGCUGAGACACAAAUGGUGGUGUUGCUUCUACUUCCUGUGCUGGAGCACUGGGGCUUGGGGCAUUGGACCACUUCAGAAGACUGCUUCCUACCCUGAGGCUGCCAUGUUCUGAGGAAGCCAAGCCGUGUGGGGAGACUACACGUAGGCACUCUGUUGUUAGUCCAUCCUGAGCCUACCCAGGCAGGGCACCUGACGUGCAAGGGAAUGGUUCCUAGAAGAUUCCAGCCUCCAGCUGUCCAAUCACGCCUCACCUCCAGAUCUACCCAGUUGAAGCCCCGACAUCAUGGGACAGAGACAAGUCAUCCCUCGGGUCACCUGUGCACUCUGCGCCCUGUCCAAAUCCCUGACCCAUGGAGUACAGGUGCAUAAUAAAAUGACUGUUGCAAGGUGCUAAGUUUGGGGAUCGUUUGUUACCCUGAUAAUAACUAGUGAGAAGUGCCUGGACCUGGGAAGGCAGAGUUAAGCCUUCUCACUAGUUGGGAAAUGGCAAGAGAAUCUCCUUUCCUGAGCCCACUGCUGCUCCCCGGCCCUGCCGUCACCUCAUCCUUGCUCCUUUCUUCAGACCUGCUCUGAUCUGUUUUAGGCCAGUUGUCAACUAAUUAAUUCUCUGCUUCUGCAUCACCUCCAAAACAAAAGGCAUCUCCUGUAAGGGUGUGAUUCCUCCCACACAUCUUUGCCUCCCUAUCAGAGCCUCCUGAAGAGGGAAGCACAUGGACUAUCUUCAAGUACAGUCUCGUAUGUGCAAGAAAAAUGUAUAGCCCGGCCCCCAGCACACUCAAGAGAUGUUUGUAACAAAAUGCUGUCACUCAGUCUCUGCAACCAAUGGUGUUGGGGAAACUGGACAGUCACAUGCAAAAGAAUGAAAUUGGACCACUUUCUUACACCAUCCACAAAAAUGAUGAAAGACCUAAAGGUGAGACCUGAAACCAUAAAAAUCCUAGAAGAGAGCACAGGCAGGAAUUUCUUUGACAUAAGCCAUAGCAACAUUUUUCUAGAUAUGUCUGCUGAGGCAAGGGAAACAAAAGCAAAAAGAAAGUAUUAAGACAUCAAAAUAAAGGGUUUCUGCGCAGUGAAGGAAACAAUCAAAAAACUACAAGGCAACCUAUACCAUGGGAGAAGGUAUUUGCAAAUGACAGAUCUGAUCAAAGGUUAGUAUCCAAAAUACAUAAAGAACUGAUACAA